rnacentral:tRNA from 1 species
GCGAGGAUAGCUCAACGGCAGAGCCCGCCGAAAGUUGAACGCUCCGGCGCAUGCAGGUUCGAUUCCUGCUCCUCGCACCA